rnacentral:rRNA from 1 species
CCAACCGGGAUUGCCUUAGUAACGGCGAGUGAAGCGGCAAAAGCUCAAAUUUGAAAUCUGGUACCUUCGGUGCCCGAGUUGUAAUUUGGAGAGGGCAACUUUGGGGCCGUUCCUUGUCUAUGUUCCUUGGAACAGGACGUCAUAGAGGGUGAGAAUCCCGUGUGGCGAGGAGUGCGGUUCUUUGUAAAGUGCCUUCGAAGAGUCGAGUUGUUUGGGAAUGCAGCUCUAAGUGGGUGGUAAAUUCCAUCUAAAGCUAAAUAUUGGCGAGAGACCGAUAGCGAACAAGUACAGUGAUGGAAAGAUGAAAAGAACUUUGAAAAGAGAGUGAAAAAGUACGUGAAAUUGUUGAAAGGGAAGGGCAUUUGAUCAGACAUGGUGUUUUGUGCCCUCUGCUCCUUGUGGGUAGGGGAAUCUCGCAUUUCACUGGGCCAGCAUCAGUUUUGGUGGCAGGAUAAAUCCAUAGGAAUGUAGCUUGCCUCGGUAAGUAUUAUAGCCUGUGGGAAUACUGCCAGCUGGGACUGAGGACUGCGACGUAAGUCAAGGAUGCUGGCAUAAUGGUUAUAUGCCGCCCGUCUUGAAACACGGACCUCCUGUGUGAGGGUCCCCUUAA